AGUUAAGACAAGAAAUUUAUUGAAAGCACCAUGAGCCACCAGGCCCCAUGCUUCUAAGCACAUCGCGGCUGCCUCACAACAGCCCUGUGAGGUAGGAAUCUGAGCCCAUUUCACAGAUGUGGACUCAACAGUGAAGACUCAACAGCCUUUCCCCCCACCCCCGCCCCAAGUCUCAGGGUCCAUGGGUAGGGAUCAAGGCCACAUGCCUGACCCCAGGGUCAGCACAGUUCAUCAGUCAGUAGGUGGGUCUCUCUACUCAAGGGGAGGCCAGGGUCCAGAGUCUUGGGUCCAGCAUGUCCCACAGGAAAUGUGCAAGGCGUCCCCGUGGCUGUGGAGGCUGAGAGAGACACAGCUGCAGAUGAAGCCAUCUGCUCCCCAUCCCCGUGGUAGAUUAAGAGUUUUCAUGCACUAGGCAGGGUAGGAACUGGAGGACUAGGGAUGGAAGUCCAACAUCAUAGAAAGUCCCUCGUGGGAAAUGUGAAUCUCAGACAGACAUUGACUGGGACACUAUGGGACUGGGAGACCUGGAAGGACACAGCCUCCUUGCUCCUCCCUUCAAGCCUUACCCUGCCAGGAAACUACUAGGUGGAUAGUGGGACACAAAGCAGACAGGAGACCACUCUGAGUGCAUGCCAGGAUCAGGCGGGGGUGAGCCUAAGACUCUGGGCUUGCUGAGAUUUUAUUUGGUGGAGUGGAAAGAGUCAGUCACACAGGAAUGUGACUAUUGUCCCUGGGUCUCAGUCUGCCCAUCCAUAGAACGGGACCAUGCUGAGGACAACAGUAAAGUGUGUAAACCUAAGCUCAGUCCAAAGCAGAAUUGGGUGUAGAGAAGCUAAUUUUCCUCAUCUCCUGGCAGAGGAAGAAAGGGGGAGGGGGAAGGAGAACAGCCGUCCAGACCUACCAGCUAAAAGUGAGAGAGCAGUAAGAAAAAAAUCCAAGGAUGUCAUUAUUCGGAAGCCCCUCUAUUGACCCUUGGUUCUUGGCACUGUCCCAGGGGGCAGAUAUGCACACACCACAUACACAGAAACACAAGCUUGAAGAAGCAUCUACCAGCAGACACCACCCCUCCUACUACCCCAAAGCACAGUGGCCCAGCCAGCCUUGGCCUUCACAUAACCUGCAGCAUCAGCCACCAUGAUGGAAAGGAAGGGAAGGCCAGGGAACCACAGAGGGACUUAGACGCUAACAUGCAUGAAUGAACCACAUCAGAUUUAGCCAGGACCACACACACAGCCAGC
rnacentral:lncRNA from 1 species